CCUACGGGGGGCUGCAGUGAGGAAUAUUGGUCAAUGGGCGCAAGCCUGAACCAGCCAAGUCGCGUGAGGGAAGACGGUCCUAUGGAUUGUAAACCUCUUUUGUCGGGGAGCAAAGCGCGGUACGAGUGCCGUGAAGGAGAGUACCCGAAGAAAAAGCAUCGGCGAACUCCGUGCCAGCAGCCGCGGUAAUACGGAGGAUUCAAGCGUUAUCCGGAUUUAUUGGGUUUAAAGGGUGCGUAGGCGGUUCGAUAAGUUAGAGGUGAAAUCCCGGGGCUCAACUCCGGCACUGCCUCUGAUACUGUCGGGCUAGAGUUUAGUUGCGGUAGGCGGAAUGUAUGGUGUAGCGGUGAAAUGCAUAGAGAUCAUACAGAACACCGAUUGCGAAGGCAGCUUACCAAACUACGACUGACGUUGAGGCACGAAAGCGUGGGGAGCAAACAGGAUUAGAUACCCUUGUAGUC
rnacentral:rRNA from 1 species